CCUUGUACACACCGCCCCGUCACACCAUGGGAGCGGGUUCUGCCAGAAGUAGUUAGCCUAACCGCAAGGAGGGCGAUUACCACGGCAGGGUUCGGUGACGUGGGGUG
rnacentral:rRNA from 1 species